UCCUCCUUAGCUCAGUUGGUUAGAGCAUCUGACUGUUAAUCAGAGGGUCCCUGGUUCGAGCCCAGGAGGAGGAGCCA
rnacentral:tRNA from 1 species